UACGAAGGGGACUAGCGUUGUUCGGAAUUACUGGGCGUAAAGCGCACGUAGGCGGAUUUGUAAGUCAGGGGUGAAAUCCCGGGGCUCAACCUGGGAACUGCCUUUGAUACUGCAAAUCGUCGAGUCCGAUAGAGGUGGGUGGAAUUCCUAGUGUAGAGGUGAAAUUCGUAGAUAUUAGGAAGAACACCGGUGGCGAAGGCGGCCCACUGGAUCGGUACUGACGCUGAGGUGCGAAAGCGUGGGGAGCAACAGG
rnacentral:rRNA from 1 species